rnacentral:rRNA from 1 species
UCGGGAAUUUUGCGCAAUGGGCGAAAGCCUGACGCAGCAACGCCGCGUGAGGGAUGAAGGCCUUCGGGUUGUAAACCUCUUUUCUCAGGGACGAUGAUGACGGUACCUGAGGAAGAAGCCACGGCUAACUACGUGCCAGCAGCCGCGGUAAUACGUAGGUGGCGAGCGUUGUCCGGAUUUACUGGGCGUAAAGAGCGCGCAGGCGGUCGGUCAAGUCGAGUGUGAAAGCCCCCGGCUCAACUGGGGAGGGUCAUUCGAUACUGAUCGACUCGAAGGCAGGAGAGGGAAGUGGAAUUCCCGGUGUAGUGGUGAAAUGCGUAGAUAUCGGGAGGAACACCAGUGGCGAAGGCGACUUCCUGGCCUGUUCUUGACGCUGAGGCGCGAAAGCUAGGGGAGCAAACGGG